UAGGGAAUCUUCCGCAAUGGGCGAAAGCCUGACGGAGCAACGCCGCGUGAGUGAUGAAGGUCUUCGGAUCGUAAAACUCUGUUAUUAGGGAAGAACAAAUGUGUAAGUAACUAUGCACGUCUUGACGGUACCUAAUCAGAAAGCCACGGCUAACUACGUGCCAGCAGCCGCGGUAAUACGUAGGUGGCAAGCGUUAUCCGGAAUUAUUGGGCGUAAAGCGCGCGUAGGCGGUUUUUUAAGUCUGAUGUGAAAGCCCACGGCUCAACCGUGGAGAGUCAUUGGAAGCUGGAAAACUUGAGUGCAGAAGAGGAAAGUGGAAUUCCAUGUGUAGCGGUGAAAUGCGCAGAGAUAUGGAGGAACACCAGUGGCGAAGGCGACUUUCUGGUCUGUAACUGACGCUGAUGUGCGAAAGCGUGGGGAUCAAACAGG
rnacentral:rRNA from 1 species